UCAGAUCGCCUUCCUGCAGGGCGAGCGGCGAGGACAGGAGAACCUGAAGAAAGACCUGGUGAGACGGAUCAAGAUGCUGGAGUACGCCCUCAAACAGGAGAGGGCAAAGUACCAUAAGCUGAAAUACGGGACAGAACUGAACCAGGGAGAGAUCAAACCUCCGAGUUAUGACUCAGACGAGGGCAACGACAGCGAAGCUCCCAGUCCUCCCAACAGCAGCCAUCAGCUCAGCUGGAAACAAGGACGCCAGCUGCU